UACAGAGGGUGCAAGCGUUAAUCGGAUUUACUGGGCGUAAAGCGUGCGUAGACGGUUGCGUAAGUCAGAUGUGAAAGCCCCGGGCUCAACCUGGGAAUUGCAUUUGAGACUGCGUAGCUAGGGUGCGGAAGAGGGAAGCGGAAUUUCCGGUGUAGCGGUGAAAUGCGUAGAUAUCGGAAGGAACACCAGUGGCGAAAGCGGCUUCCUGGUCAAGCACCGACGUUCAGGCACGAAAGCGUGGGGAGCAAACAGG
rnacentral:rRNA from 1 species